UACGGAAGGCAGCAGUGGGGAAUAUUGCACAAUGGGCGCAAGCCUGAUGCAGCCAUGCCGCGUGUAUGAAGAAGGCCUUCGGGUUGUAAAGUACUUUCAGUCGUGAGGAAGGUGUUAAGGUUAAUAACCUUAGCAAUUGACGUUAGCGACAGAAGAAGCACCGGCUAACUCCGUGCCAGCAGCCGCGGUAAUACGGAGGGUGCGAGCGUUAAUCGGAAUUACUGGGCGUAAAGGGCACGCAGGCGGUUAAUUAAGUUGGAUGUGAAAUCCCCGGGCUUAACCUGGGAAUGGCAUUCAAGACUGGUUAGCUAGAGUCUUGUAGAGGGGGUAGAAUUCCAUGUGUAGCGGUGAAAUGCGUAGAGAUGUGGAGGAUACCGGUGGCGAAGGCGGCCCCUGGACAAAGGACUGACGCUCAUGUGCGAAAGCGUGGGGAGCGAAACGAGGGAUUUAGAUACC
rnacentral:rRNA from 1 species